rnacentral:rRNA from 1 species
GUAACACAAUAGGCCCACCGGAAGGUGGGCCUGGUAAAU